rnacentral:rRNA from 1 species
CACCGCGGUUAUACGAGAGGCCCAAGUUGAUAGACAACGGCGUAAAGUGUGGUUAAGAAAGACUAUAUACUAAAGCCAAAUGCUUUCAAGGCUGUUAUACGCACCCGAAAGCAAGAAGCCCAACUACGAAAGUGGCUUUAUAACCCCUGAACCCACGAAAGCUAGGGCA